UACAGAGGUCUCAAGCGUUGUUCGGAUUCAUUGGGCGUAAAGGGUGCGUAGGUGGCGGGGUAAGUCAGGUGUGAAAUUUCGGAGCUUAACUCCGAAACUGCAUUUGAUACUGCCUUGCUUGAGGACUGGAGAGGAGACUGGAAUUCACGGUGUAGCAAUGAAAUGCGUAGAUAUCGUGAGGAAGACCAGUGGCGAAGGCGGGUCUCUGGACAGUUCCUGACACUGAGGCACGAAGGCCAGGGGAGCAAACGGG
rnacentral:rRNA from 1 species